CUUUAUGUAUCUUUGGGACCUGUCAACUGUGGCAUCUCCCUUGCUAUACCUGGACAAGCAUAUUCUUGUUUAUUGCCUGUCACCAUUUAACUGGUAUCAGAUUCUGACUUGUACAAGUAACAUCC